GACCGGGUGGCAGAGUGGUCAUGCGAUUGGUCCAGCAACCCAAUUUACGCCGGUUCGAUUCCGGCCCCGGUCU
rnacentral:tRNA from 1 species